UGUAGCUCAGUUGUGGAGUGUCUGCCUAGCAUGCAGCAGCCCUGGGUUCAAUACCCAGCA
rnacentral:tRNA from 1 species